rnacentral:rRNA from 1 species
CAAUAGCGUAUAUUAAAGUUGUUGCGGUUAAAAAGCUCGUAGUUGGAUUUCUGUUGAGGGUGGUCGGUCCACAUUAUGUGCGUGUAUCUGGUUCAGCCUCGGCAUCCUCCAGGGGAACGUUCCUGCGCUUCAUUGCGUGGGGCUGUAUUCUGGACUUUUACUUUGAGGAAAUUAGAGUGUUCACGGCAGGCAGUCGCCUUGAAUAUAUUAGCAUGGAAUAAUAAUAUAGGACCUUGGUUCUAUUUUGUUGGUUUCUAGAACUUAGGUAAUGAUUAAUAGGGACAAUUGGGGGCAUUUGUAUUAACACGUCAGAGGUGGAAUUCUUGGAUUGUGUUACGACAAACUACUGCGAAAGCAUUUGCCAAGGAUGUUUUCAUUGA